rnacentral:rRNA from 1 species
UGGCUCAGAUUGAACGCUGGCGGCAUGCCUUACACAUGCAAGUCGAACGGCAGCACGGGAGCUUGCUCCUGGUGGCGAGUGGCGAACGGGUGAGUAAUACAUCGGAACGUACCCUGAAGUGGGGAUAACGUAGCGAAAGUUACGCUAAUACCGCAUAUUCUGUGAGCAGGAAAGAGGGGGAUCGCAAGACCUCUUGCUUUAGGAGCGGCCGAUGUCGGAUUAGCUAGUUGGUGAGGUAAAGGCUCACCAAGGCGACGAUCCGUAGCGGGUCUGAGAGGAUGAUCCGCCACACUGGGACUGAGACACGGCCCAGACUCCUACGGGAGGCAGCAGUGGGGAAUUUUGGACAAUGGGCGCAAGCCUGAUCCAGCCAUGCCGCGUGAGUGAAGAAGGCCUUCGGGUUGUAAAGCUCUUUCGGUGGGAAGAAAUGGCACGGGUUAAUACCCUGUGUUGAUGACGGUACCGCAUAAGAAGCACCGGCUAACUACGUG